rnacentral:rRNA from 1 species
UACCGAGGGUGCAAGCGUUGUUCGGAAUUACUGGGCGUAAAGCGUGCGUAGUCGGUAUUGAGAGUCACGGGUGAAAUCCCAGGGCUUAACCCUGGAACUGCCUGUGAGACCUCAGUACUAGAGUGUGAGAGGGGAUAGUGGAAUACCCAGUGUAGCGGUGAAAUGCGUAGAGAUUGGGUGGAACACCGGUGGCGAAAGCGGCUAUCUGGCUCACAACUGACGAUCAGGCACGAAAGCGUGGGGAGCAAACAGG